rnacentral:rRNA from 1 species
GUGCCAGCAGCCGCGGUAACACCGGCAGCUCAAGUGGUGGCCAUUUUUAUUGGGCCUAAAGCGUUCGUAGCCGGCUUGAUAAGUCUCUGGUGAAAUCCCAUAGCUUAACUGUGGGAAUUGCUGGAGAUACUAUUAGGCUUGAGGCCGGGAGAGGUUAGGGGUACUCCCAGGGUAGGGGUGAAUUCCUAUAAACCUGGGAGGCCCCACUGUGGCGAAGGCGCCUAACUGGACAG